rnacentral:rRNA from 1 species
AUUGAACGCUGGCGGCAUGCCUUACACAUGCAAGUCGAACGGCAGCACGGGUGCUUGCACCUGGUGGCGAGUGGCGAACGGGUGAGUAAUACAUCGGAACAUGUCCUGUAGUGGGGGAUAGCCCGGCGAAAGCCGGAUUAAUACCGCAAACGAUCUACGGCUGAAAGCGGGGGAACUUCGGGCCUCGCGCUAUCGGGUUGGCCGAUGGCUGAUUAGCUAGUUGGUGGGGUAAAGGCCUACCAAGGCGACGAUCAGUAGCUGGUCUGAGAGGACGACCAGCCACACUGGAACUGAGACACGGCCCAGACUCCUACGGGAGGCAGCAGUGGGGAAUUUUGGACAAUGGGCGAAAGCCUGAUCCAGCAAUGCCGCGUGUGUGAAGAAGGCCUUCGGGUUGUAAAGCACUUUUGUCCGGAAAGAAAUCCUGGGCCCUAAUACGGUCGGGGGAUGACGGUACCGGAAGAAUAAGCACCGGCUAACUACGUG